ACGUAGGGGGCAAGCGUUAUCCGGAUUUACUGGGUGUAAAGGGAGCGUAGACGGCACAGCAAGUCUGAAGUGAAAUCCCCGGGCUCAACCCGGGAACUGCUUUGGAAACUGCUGGGCUGGAGUGCUGGAGAGGCAAGCGGAAUUCCUAGUGUAGCGGUGAAAUGCGUAGAUAUUAGGAGGAACACCAGUGGCGAAGGCGGCUUGCUGGACAGUAACUGACGUUGAGGCUCGAAAGCGUGGGGAGCAAACAG
rnacentral:rRNA from 1 species